UACGGGGGGUGCAAGCGUUACUCGGAAUCACUGGGCGUAAAGAGCAUGUAGGCCGGUUGAUAAGUUGGAAGUGAAAUCCUAUGGCUUAACCAUAGAACUGCUUCCAAAACUGUCAACCUAGAGUAUGGGAGAGGUAGAUGGAAUUUCUGGUGUAGGGGUAAAAUCCGUAGAGAUCAGAAGGAAUACCGAUUGCGAAGGCGAUCUACUGGAACAUUACUGACGCUGAGAUGCGAAAGCGUGGGGAGCAAACAGG
rnacentral:rRNA from 1 species